CUCACCUUUUAAUGAAGUCCAGAGAGGCUUAAAAGGGUGUUGAACGAGCCGGUUUUUUGCAAAAAGCUUAAGAUAAAAAGUUCUUUUUGCGUAAACUUGCCUGUUUUAGGUUUUUCAACACCCUGACAAAAUGUCAGGGUGUUUUUUUAU
rfam:Bacillus methanolicus MGA3, complete genome.